GCCGUCGGUAGUGCAACGGUUCAGCACGCGCUCCCGCAUAGGGUGAAGUGUAGGUUCGAAUCCCAGCUGACGCA